GACGAACCGUGCGAACGUUAUUCGGAAUCACUGGGCUUAAAGCGCGUGUAGGCGGCCCGGCACGUCGGACGCUGAAAUCCCCCGGCUCAACCGGGGAACGGGCGCCGAUACGACCGGGCUGGAGGGGGGUAGGGGCGCGGAACUUCCGGUGGAGCGGUGAAAUGCGUUGAGAUCGGAAGGAACGCCCGUGGCGAAAGCGGGCGCCUGGACCCGACCUGACGCUGAGACGCGAAAGCCAGGGGAGCGAACGGG
rnacentral:rRNA from 1 species